CAGGGGAUAAAAUGUUGGUGUUAUAAUGGGGAUUUGAUCAGUGAUGAGUUUAAUUAGAGUAUCUUCCCAAUAUUGUUUUAGUUUAGGGCAAGACCAAAAGACAUGAUACAGAGUAGCAAGUUGACCACACUCCCUCCAGCAUGCGUUAGUCUGAGAUAGUUGCAAUUUAAAAGGUGUAGAGGGAGUCUGAUAAUAUCUGUAUAUAAUUUUGAAAUGAGAUUUCAAAAGAGCCGCAGACUGUGCGAUACCAUGUAAUGCCAUCAGAAUCUCGUGCCAUUCCUCCACUUUAAACUCGUUUUUAUAGUUCGUUUUCCCAUUUUGUCAUAUUGUCUAAUUUUGGACUAGAUUCCCC